UACGAAGGGGGCUAGCGUUGCUCGGAAUUACUGGGCGUAAAGCGCACGUAGGCGGAUCUUUAAGUCAGGGGUGAAAUCCUGGAGCUCAACUCCAGAACUGCCUUUGAUACUGAGGACCUUGAGUUCGGGAGAGGUGAGUGGAACUGCGAGUGUAGAGGUGAAAUUCGUAGAUAUUCGCAAGAACACCAGUGGCGAAGGCGGCUCACUGGACCAUAACUGACGCUGAUGCACGAAAGCUAGGGGAGCAAACAGG
rnacentral:rRNA from 1 species